UAGGGAAUAUUGGACAAUGGGGGCAACCCUGAUCCAGCCAUGCCGCGUGAGUGAGGAAGGCCCUCGGGUUGUAAAGCUCUUUUGUCCGGAAAGAAAAGCUUCGGGUUAAUACCCCGGGGUUCUGACGGUACCGGAAGAAUAAGCACCGGCUAACUUCGUGCCAGCAGCCGCGGUAAUACGAAGGGUGCAAGCGUUACUCGGAAUUACUGGGCGUAAAGCGUGCGUAGGUGGUUGUUUAAGUCUGAUGUGAAAGCCCUGGGCUCAACCUGGGAAUGGCAUUGGAAACUGGGCAGCUAGAGUGCGGUAGAGGGUAGUGGAAUUCCCGGUGUAGCAGUGAAAUGCGUAGAGAUCGGGAGGAACAUCUGUGGCGAAGGCGACUGCCUGGACCAGCACUGACACUGAGGCACGAAAGCGUGGGGAGCAAACA
rnacentral:rRNA from 1 species